CAAGCGUCUGAGGUAAAAGGAGGUCGCUGCCAUCGGCCUCACUGACGAGUCUAUAGACAGUGACUCCGAGACGAAAUCGCUUU
rnacentral:hammerhead_ribozyme from 17 species